UGCAAGGUUAAGCGGAAAAAGCGGAGCCGUAGCGAAAGCGAGUCUGAAUAGGGCGCAUAAGUAACAGGUCGUAGACCCGAAACCAGGUGAUCUACCCAUGUCCAGGAUGAAGGUAAGGUAAUACUUACUGGAGGUCCGAACCCACGCACGUUGAAAAGUGCGGGGAUGAGGUGUGGGUAGCGGAGAAAUUCCAAUCGAACUUGGAGAUAGCUGGUUCUCUCCGAAAUAGCUUUAGGGCUAGCCUCGAGGUAAAGAGUCAUGGAGGUAGAGCACUGUUUGGACUAGGGGCCCUUCUCGGGUUACCGAAUUCAGAUAAACUCCGAAUGCCAUGUACUUAUACUCGGGAGUCAGACUGCGAGUGAUAAGAUCCGUAGUCGAAAGGGAAACAGCCCAGACCACCAGUUAAGGUCCCCAAAUAUAUGUUAAGUGGAAAAGGAUGUGGGGUUGCUUAGACAACCAGGAUGUUGGCUUAGAAGCAGCCACCAUUGAAAGAGUGCGUAAUAGCUCACUGGUCGAGUGACCCCGCGCCGAAAAUGUACCGGGGCUAAACAUAUUACCGAAACUGUGGAUGAACCUCUUUAGAGGUUCGUGGUAGGAGAGCGUUCUAAGGGCGGUGAAGUCAGACCGGAAGGACUGGUGGAGCGCUUAGAAGUGAGAAUGCCGGUAUGAGUAGCGAAAGAAGGGUGAGAAUCCCUUCCACCGAAUAUCUAAGGUUUCCUGAGGAAGGCUCGUCCGCUCAGGGUUAGUCGGGACCUAAGCCGAGGCCGAUAGGCGUAGGCGAUGGACAACAGGUAGAGAUUCCUGUACCAGUGCUAAUUGUUUAACCGAUGGGGUGACACAGAAGGAUAGGGAAUCGCACGAAUGGAAAUGUGCGUCCAAGCAGUGAGUGUGAG
rnacentral:rRNA from 1 species